UACAGAGGGUGCAAGCGUUGUUCGGAAUUACUGGGCGUAAAGCGCGUGUAGGCGGUUUAAUAAGUCAGAUGUGAAAUCCCUCAGCUUAACUGAGGAACUGCAUCUGAUACUGUUAAACUUGAGUAUCGGAGGGGAUGGCGGAAUUCCUGGUGUAGAGGUGAAAUUCGUAGAUAUCGGGAGGAACACCAGUGGCGAAGGCGGCGACCUGGGCCAAUAUUGACGCUGAGGUGCGAAAGCGUGGGGAGCAAACAGG
rnacentral:rRNA from 1 species